rnacentral:rRNA from 1 species
GAUGAACGCUGGCGGCGUGCCUAAUACAUGCAAGUCGAGCGAACAGAUGAGAAGCUUGCUUCUCUGAUGUUAGCGGCGGACGGGUGAGUAACACGUGGGUAACCUACCUAUAAGACUGGGAUAACUCCGGGAAACCGGGGCUAAUACCGGAUAAUAUUUUGAACCGCAUGGUUCGAUAGUGAAAGACGGUUUCGGCUGUCACUUAUAGAUGGACCCGCGCCGUAUUAGCUAGUUGGUAAGGUAACAGCUUACCAAGGCGACGAUACGUAGCCGACCUGAGAGGGUUAUCGGCCACACUGGAACUGAGACACGGUCCAGACUCCUACGGGAGGCAGCAGUAGGGAAUCUUCCGCAAUGGGCGAAAGCCUGACGGAGCAACGCCGCGUGAGUGAUGAAGGUCUUCGGAUCGUAAAACUCUGUUGUUAGGGAAGAACAAAUUUGUUAGUAACUGAACAAGUCUUGACGGUACCUAACCAGAAAGCCACGGCUAACUACGUGCCAGCCGCCGCAGUAA